AUUUUAUAGAAGUCUCAGUUCAAUCAGGCUUGAUCUACACAAUAUCCGUUGCAAUCUGAUCCACUUGCACCUUGACCUGCAUUGCGGAAUAGGGAGCUGGAGAAGCAGUAGAUGACGGGGUCCAGUGCACUGUUCAUGUAUGUAAACCCAAUGGACAAGACAAACAUCUGACUAACUAAUUUUUGUAGCUGCAUAGGAGGGAGGCACUUUCAGGUUCUAUGGCCCUAUUCUACGUUUCAAACUAACUCCUGAGAUGUCACUAGUAUGCACUGGCUUAAUGUUUAGCUCGGACAAACUAAAAACCAGAAACGAACAGGAAAAUGGCAUUUAAACCUGAAGCUGUGGCAGGCUAGUAAGCAGUACUGACAUUGA